rnacentral:rRNA from 1 species
AUUGAACGCUGGCGGCAGGCCUAACACAUGCAAGUCGAGCGGAUGAAGGGUGCUUUCUCCUGGAUUCAGCGUCGGACGGGUGUGUAUUGCCUAGGAAUCUGCCUGGUAUUGGGUGAUAACGUCCGGAAACGGGCGCUAAUACCGCAUACUUCCUGAUCUUGAAAGUUUGUGUUCUUCGGACCUCUCCCUAUCAUAUGUGCCUAGGUAGGAUUAGCUAGUUGGUUGGGUAAAGUCCUACUAAGGCGACGAUCCGUAACUGGUCUGAGAGGAUGAUCAGAGACACUGGAAAUGAGACACGGUAAAGACUACUAAGGGAGGGAGAAGUGGGGAAUAGGGGACAAUGGGAGAAAGGAUGAUCCAGCGAUGGGGAGUGUGUGAAGAAGGUCUUCGGAUUGUAAAGAAAUUUAAGUUGGGAGGAAGGGCAGUAAGAUAAGACGUAGCUGGUUUGACGUUAACAAGAGAAUAAGCACCGGCUAACUACGUG